rfam:Trichomonas vaginalis G3, whole genome shotgun sequence.
GGGUAUGUGGCUCAGUGGUAGAGUGGAGCUUUCGCAUAGCCCAGGCCGGGGGUUCGAUUCCCUCCAUAUCCA